UACGGAGGGUGCAAGCGUUAUCCGGAUUCACUGGGUUUAAAGGGUGCGUAGGCGGCUACGUAAGUCAGUGGUGAAAGCUUCCGGCUUAACCGGGAAAUUGCCAUUGAAACUGUGUAGCUUGAAUACAGUUGAAGUGAGUGGAAUACAACAUGUAGCGGUGAAAUGCUUAGAUAUGUUGUAGAACACCGAUUGCGAAGGCAUCUCACUAAGCUGUCAUUGACGCUGAGGCACGAAAGCGUGGGUAGCGAACAGG
rnacentral:rRNA from 1 species